rnacentral:rRNA from 1 species
UACGUAGGGUGCUAGCGUUGUUCGGAAUCAUUGGGCGUAAAGCGCGUGUAGGUGGUUAGUAAAGUUGGAUGUGAAAUCCCUGGGCUCAACCGAGGAAGUGCAUUCAAAACUAACUAGCUUGAGAGUGGUAGAGGAAGGUGGAAUUCCUAGUGUAGAGGUGAAGUUCGUAGAUAUUAGGAGGAAUACCGGAGGCGAAGGCGGCCUUCUGGACCAUUUCUGACACUGAGACGCGAAAGCGUGGGUAGCAAACAGG